CAAUACAAGUGAUCCAUGCAACCAUCUGGAAUACUGUUAUUCUAUAUGAUUUCAACUCUACAUUUGGUUCCAUUAUGUGGAGGAAAUAGAAGGGAGAGAAUAUUCCUCAUUAUAUUGUAGAGAGAGUUGGAACCUUUGAAAUACUUGCAGUAUUCCCUACUGGAAUAUAGUUGUUGACUUAUAGCUGCUGAAGAAGCCGUAAGGCGAAACAAGUGGACUUAAUUCCGGAAAGCCUUGUUCUGCUUACAUCGAU